rnacentral:rRNA from 1 species
AGUGAACGCUGGCGGUAGGCCUAACACAUGCAAGUCGAACGGCAGCACAGUAAGAGCUUGCUCUUACGGGUGGCGAGUGGCGGACGGGUGAGGAAUACACCGGAAUCUACUUUUUCGUGGGGGAUAACGUAGGGAAACUUACGCUAAUACCGCAUACGAACUACGGGUGAAAGCAGGGGAUCUUCGGACCUUGCGCGAUUGAAUGAGCCGAUGUCGGCUUAGCUAGUGGGCGGGGUAGAGGUCCACCAAGGCGACGAUCCGUAGCUGGUCUGAGGGGACGAUCGGCCAGAUGGGAACUGAGACAGGGUCCAGACUCCUACGGUAGGCCGCAGUGGGGAAUAUUGGACAAGGGGCCAAAGCCUGAUACAGCAAUACCGGGGGAGUGAAGAAGGCGUUCGGGUUGGAGAGCCCUGUUGUUGGGAAAGAAGAGCAGCAGGUUAAUACGCCGCUGUUCUGACGGUACCCAAAGAAUAAGCACCGGCUAACUUCGUG